GGCUUCGUAGUUCAGCUGGUUGAGCACCUGCCGCGUUGAGGCAUGCUGUGCUUGUCGCUGGUUUGAAUCCAGCCGAAGCUC
rnacentral:tRNA from 1 species